rnacentral:rRNA from 1 species
UACGGGGGGGGCAAGCGUUGUUCGGAAUUACUGGGCGUAAAGGGCUCGUAGGCGGCCUACUAAGUCAGACGUGAAAUCCCCAGGCUCAACCUGGGAACUGCGUCUGAUACUGGAUGGCUUGAAUUCGGGAGAGGGAUGCAGAAUUCCAGGUGUAGCGGUGAAAUGCGUAGAUAUCUGGAGGAAUACCGGUGGCGAAGGCGGCAUCCUGGACCGACAUUGACGCUGAUGAGCGAAAGCUAAGGGAGCAAACGGG